GAUGAACGCUGACAGAAUGCUUAACACAUGCAAGUCUACUUGAUUCUACUUCGGUAGUUGAUGGUGGCGGACGGGUGAGUAACGCGUAAAGAAUCUGCCCUUUAGUUUGGGAUAACCUUUGGAAACGAAGGCUAAUACCGAAUAUUAUGGAGAUGUCGCAUGACGACUUCAUGAAAGCUAUAUGCGCUAGAGGAGGACUUUGCGUCCCAUUAGUUAGUUGGUGAGGUAAUGGCUCACCAAGACCGCGAUGGGUAGCCGGCCUGAGAGGGUGAUCGGCCACAAGGGAACUGAGACACGGUCCUUACUCCUACGGGAGGCAGCAGUGGGGAAUAUUGGACAAUGGACCACAAGUCUGAUCCAGCAAUUCUGUGUGCACAAUGAAGGUCUUCGGAUUGUAAAGUGCUUUCAGUAGGGAAGAAAAAAAUGACGGUACCUACAGAAGAAGCGACGGCUAAAUAUGUGCCAGCCGCCGCAGUAAAAC
rnacentral:rRNA from 1 species